GGCCGUGCUCACAGUACGAAACGUUUCUUGGGGCUGCAAAUCCUCUGAGCUCCACAAGGUGGUGAUCUCACUUCUUCCCAGGCAAGUCUCUAUGGAAGACAGGAAGUGAUGUCACAUACAGACAGGAAGUUCUGGGUGAGAGGUGAGUCGGCAGGAAGUAGAGACAUUGUUGGAACUGGCAGCAGAGGAGAGUGGAAACAUCGGGGAUGAUAAUAUUGUUGUUAAAAAAGAGGAAGAUGAGGAGUAUGGAGUGAUGAAGCAGCUUUCUGAAGGACAUCAUGAUGGAGCAAUCAAGUAACAGAAACCCACCAGAGAGAUGUCCCCGUCCUCUGUAUUCCCGGGAUUCCACACAGGAAGGUCACACCAUCCCCCACCAUCAUCAGAGUGGAAACCUUGAGGAUUAUAAUAGUGUUAUUAAAGAAGAGUACAAGGAAGAGAGCGAGGAAUAUGGUGUAAUGAAGGAGCUUUCAGGAAACAAGGAUAUGAUGGAGCCGCCUAAUACCAGAAACCCACCAGAGAGAUGUCCCCGUCCUCUGUAUUCCCGGGAUUC